rnacentral:rRNA from 1 species
UGGGGAAUAUUGCGCAAUGGGGGAAACCCUGACGCAGCGCCGCCGCGUGCGGGAUGAAGGCCUUCGGGUUGUAAACCGCUUUUGAUUGGGAGCAAGCCUUUUGGGUGAGUGUACCUUUCGAAUAAGCGCCGGCUAACUACGUGCCAGCAGCCGCGGUAAUACGUAGGUCCCGAGCGUUGUCCGGAUUUAUUGGGCGUAAAGCGAGCGCAGGCGGUUCGAAAAGUCUGAAGUGAAAGGCAGUGGCUCAACCAUUGUAGGCUUUGGAAACUGUGGAACUUGAGUGCAGAAGGGGAGAGUGGAAUUCCAUGUGUAGCGGUGAAGUGCGUAGAUGUAUGGGGGAACACCGGUGGCGAAGGCGGCUCUCUGGUCUGUAACUGACGCUGAGGAACGAAAGCGUGGGUAGCAAACAGG